CGAUAUGUUGUGUCCGUCGGUGCCUUUCCCAGACCUACGGUCGGACUGGCUUAAUAGGGAAUCCGGUGCGAAUCCGGAACUGCCCCGCAGCGGUAAGCGGAAACGAACGCCAUCACAUGCACUGGCCCGCCGUGGCUGGGAAGCGAAGGCAAGUAGGCGGGUCGCAAGACCCCUGUCCGCAAGUCCGAAGACCUGCCGACACGGCACGGCCAAG
rnacentral:ncRNA from 2 species